rnacentral:rRNA from 1 species
GGGCUAUGCUCCAUAGUGGAUAUGUCCUGGAAUGGUAUAUCCUCGAAAGAUCCGUCGCCUUAGGAUGGGACUGCGUCCGAUUAGGUUGUUGGCGGGGUAACGGCCCACCAAGCCUUUUAUCGGUACGGGUUGUGGGAGCAAGAUCCCGGAGAUGGAUUCUGAGACAUGAAUCCAGGCCCUACGGGGCGCAGCAGGCGCGCAAACUUUACAAUGCGAGCAAUCGUGAUAAGGAAACCCUGAGUGCCUGUCGAUGCAGGCUGUUCAUAUAUCUAAAUCAUAUGUGAAGAAAGGGCAGGGCAAGACCGGUGCCAGCCGCCGCGGUAAUACCGGCUGCUCGAGUGAUGGCCACUAUUACUGGGUUUAAAGCGUCCGUAGCUUGACUGUUAGGUCUCUUGGGAGAUCUUCGCGCUCAACGUGAAGGCGUCUAAGAGAUACCGGCAGUCUUGGAACUGGGAGAGGUAAACCGUACUUCGGGGGUAGGAGUGAAAUCUUGUAAUCCUCGAGGGACGACCUAUGGCGAAGGCAGUUUACCAGAACAGCUUCGACAGUGAGGGACGAAAGCUGGGGGAGCAAACGGGAUUAGAUACCCCGGUAGUCCCAGCCGUAAACAAUGUGCGUUAGGUGUGUCGGUAACCACGUGUUACUGAUGCGCCGAAGAGAAAUCGUGAAACGCACCACCUGGGAAGUACGGUCGCAAGGCUGAAACUUAAAGGAAUUGGCGGGGGAGCACCACAACAGGUGGAGCCUGCGGUUUAA